CCGCCGUGGGUCAGGCCCGGCUCUCGGGCGGCCGGGUUGGUUCCUCGGCCUUGUCGAGCAGGCGUUCGAAGGCGGCGGCGGCGGC
rnacentral:tRNA from 1 species